rnacentral:tRNA from 1 species
GCGAAGGUGGCGGAAUUGGCAGACGCACUGGAUUUAGGUUCCAGCGCCGCGAGGCGUGCGGGUUCAAAUCCCGCCCUUCGCACCA